UAGUUUUUUUUUUUUUCUUUUUAGUGCAGGCAUGUUGUCUUGCUGUCUUCCCUGUCAGUGUAUAGCCUGGCACCUGCUCUCAUGUUCCUAAUUAGUCUCAUUUAUUUAAUUAUAUUCUACUGCACAUAUCUUCUCUUUUUUAAAGACAUUUUCUUCACAUACGUUUCUCCCCAAAAUAGCUUUAAAGGAGGAGACUGAGCUGCAGAACAGAGAGGCUUUAGGCAGCUUGGUUGUCAUCCUCUCAGAACAUACGCGUUGUAACUUUUUCUCCUGCAAAAUUAGACACCAAACUGGAGGUUUUUUUUUAUUUAUUUUUUUUCCCCCCCUCCUAAGAUAACCUGACAACCAGCUGACUCACAGGCAGAAUCUCGCCAGCAAAGCUGCAGGAAAACAAGUCAGGUUUCAAGGCUGAGUGAGAGUGCGGCUGCAGCAAUAGCAGCGGCAGCAGCAGCAGCAGCGGGCUAUGGCGGGAUGAAACCAAUGCAUCAUUAAAUAGACUCAGCGGGUGACCCGGUCCAGCAGAGGUGCUCCACAUCCGAGAGGAAAGACCACGUUGUUACGUUUUCAGAUAUGCAAGUCCCAAGUGCAAUUUGUGGAAGUUUGCUUUCAGAUUAAGUGUUGUUCUCUUCUUUCCUGGUUUUCUUCCUGACAGCAGGUUUUAGCUUGGUUGCCCAUUGUUAGUCCUAUCGAUGGCAGAACGGAGGGAUGGCAGAUAGUUUUGCGUCUGAGGCUUCUGCGUUUCUGCACAAGGAGAUGAUUACAUCUACAAACGGCAAACAGGAUGACAUCUUGUGAUUGUUACCCAGGUCUUCUUAAGUGAAACGGAAGCGAAAACGGUUAAAAAAAAAAAAAAACAUUUCUCACCACGAGUUGUUUGAAUCUUUUAGUUAACCUUUGUACUGUUCUCCAUGGGGACCGGUUAUUUUGAGCCCGACAACAAAACAGUGACAGAAAGCCAUUCAACUCAUUGCAUAGUGACAUAAGACACCAUCAUGACAACAAAUCAAAGAGGAAAAAAAAAAAAAGCAAAAACGACAAAAGACAACCUAUGUGAAUGUUAGCAUCUGAAACCUGCCACUGCUAUAUAGCCAUAGGUUAUACUUUCCUCAGAGCAGAACAUUACACUGAGACACAAAUGUAAUGCACGUUUUUCUUCUUUUUUUUUUUUUUCUUUUUUUUUUCAUGAGCUUCAGUGUGUUUAUCUACAAAGGGAGCUGGUACAUUAGUACGAUACUGCAGCGGUGUUUCUGUACGAUGUUAUAUAUUUACAGAGACAAAUUGUCUUCACAUUAUUCACACGUCUUUCUAAAAAGCAGCACUUAGUUUGCAGCUGUUGGAAUAUUAAGCCACUGGAUUUCACCUUCCUCGCAAGGAUCAUGUCGUUCACCUGUCUCGGCGUUACGUGUUGAGUCUUGACUCUCUUAUAAGAUAAUACUGAAAUAUUAAACUUACUGUAAAUAAAAUAUUAAAUAUCCAACUAAGUCUUUGGCAAAUGUGGUAGGAGGAGUACAUUCACAGAAUAUUUCCCCCAAAACAAACAGUCAAACAAAAACAAAUGCUCAAUUUCAGCCUCUGUGAAGAGGAAAAUGUGUGACUUCUACUAAAGAGGUGUAAGUUUAGGUUGACAAAACAAGCUUGUAAGGCAAUUACUGAAGCUAAUUUAUGGUUAUUCUUAUCACAACUGCAUCAUCUUUCUAACUUUUGCAGGGCAUCUUGUGGUUUUACUUAUGCAACUGAAUCACGAGGCUUCAUUUAGCCAAAGAGCUCCAGGAUGAAUUGUUUGUGUGUUUAACUUAGCUAUGCACUUUUAAACUGAGAUUUUUAGGUAACUGUUCCUCAAAAAGACGAUUAAAAAAUCAAUUAAACGGAGUUGUUAGUGCAAAAAAGAGCAAAGGAACAUGACAGAAAAAAAAACAUCAAAACAAAACAAAAAAAAAACAAUCCAGAAAAUCUUUGAUAAGUUUGUUUACAUAAAAACUUUGACAGAAAAAUCCCUCACAUUGUUGAAGUAUUUAAAAUCCUGACAUGACCCUUAUAAAUUCAUGGUCACCACACAUUUUUUUUUUUUUUUAUACUUUGCAAAAGAAUUUACAUUUUUACAUCUGAUUGUUUGCCACAGGUGCGACGUUGCUCUGGGAACGGAGGAUCGGUAAACAUCGAAGGACGUGCUGAUAGCUCAGGAUGGGCAGGAGAAGAAGGACGACCGAACGAAUUAUGUCAAAGCA